GAUGAACGCUGGCGGCGUGCCUAAUACAUGCAAGUCGAGCGAACUGAUUAGAAGCUUGCUUCUAUGACGUUAGCGGCGGACGGGUGAGUAACACGUGGGCAACCUGCCUGUAAGACUGGGAUAACUUCGGGAAACCGAAGCUAAUACCGGAUAGGAUCUUCUCCUUCAUGGGAGAUGAUUGAAAGAUGGUUUCGGCUAUCACUUGCAGAUGGGCCCGCGGUGCAUUAGCUAGUUGGUGAGGUAACGGCCCACCAAGGCAACGAUGCAUAGCCGACCUGAGAGGGUGAUCGGCCACACUGGGACUGAGACACGGCCCAGACUCCUACGGGAGGCAGCAGUAGGGAAUCUUCCGCAAUGGACGAAAGUCUGACGGAGCAACGCCGCGUGAGUGAUGAAGGCUUUCGGGUCGUAAAACUCUGUUGUUAGGGAAGAACAAGUACAAGAGUAACUGCUCGUACCUUGACGGUACCUAACCAGAAAGCCACGGCUAACUACGUGCCAGCCGCCGCCGUAAUAC
rnacentral:rRNA from 1 species